rnacentral:lncRNA from 1 species
GGAAAUAUGAUCCAAGAUGUGAAGGAGUUGAGGACAAGAGACCUGUGUGUUUCCAGGGAAAAAGCAUUCUUGACAGAGUGCAGCUAGUGCAGAGCCCUCAUGGGAACGAGGCUGGCUGUGGAAGAGCAGGCAGGAGGCAGUAGUAGCAGCAGAUGCAAGGAGGCAGCUGGAGAUGAGGCCCCAGACACAGGCCGGGGGAAGCAGUAAAAGACGUAUCCCUCUGAGGUCAGAAAGCUCUCU